GAACGCUGGCGGCGUGCUUAACACAUGCAAGUCGAACGAAGCACUUUAUUUGAUUUCCUUCGGGAGUGAUUAUUUUGUGACUGAGUGACGGACGGGUGACUAACGCGCUGGCUAACCUGCCUUGUACAGGGGGAUAACAGAUGAAAACGGCUGCUAAUACCGCAUAAGCGCGCGGCCUCGCAUGAUGCAAUGUGAAAAACUCCGGUGGAAUAAUAUGGACCCGCGUUGGAUUAGCUAGCUGGCGAGGUAACCGCCCACCAAGGCGACUAUCCAUAGCCGACCUGACAGGGUGACCGGUCACAUUGGGACUGAAACCCGGCCCAAACUCCUACGGAAGGCAACAGUGGGGAAUAUUGCACACUGGGCCAAAGCCUGAUGCAGCGACACCACGGGAGCGAAGAAGUAUUUCUGCAUGUAAAGCUCUAUCAACACGGAAGAUAAUGACCGUACCUGACUAAUAAACAACGGCUAAAUACGCUGCCAGCAGCCGCGGUAAUACGUAUGGUGCAAACGAUAUCCGGAUUUACUGGAUGUAAAGGGAGCGCAGGCAGCGCGGCAAGACUGAUGUGACAGCCCGGAGCUCAUCCCCGGUACUGCAUUGAAAACUGUCGAACUAGAAUGUCUGAAGGGUAAGCGAAAUUCCUAGUGUAUCGGUGAAAUGCGUAGAUAGUAGGAGGAACACCAGUGGCGAAGGUGGCUUACUGGACGAUAACUGACGCUGAGGCUCGAAAGCGUGGGGAGCAAACAGGAUUAGAUACCCUGGUAGUGCACGCCGUAAAGGAUGAAUAGUAGGUGUUGGGGAGCAUUGCUUCUCGGUACCGUCGCAAACGCAGUAAGUAUUCCACUUGGGGAGUACGUUCGCAAGAAUGAAACUCAAAGGAAUUGUCGGGGACCCGCACAAGCGGUGGAGCAUGUGGUUUAAUUCGAAGCAACGCGAAGAACCUUACCAAGUCUUGACAUCGUUCUGACCGGUACUUAGCCGUACCUUCUAUUCGGAGCAGGAGUGACAGGUGGUGCAUGGUUGUCGUCAGCUCGUGUCGUGAGAUGUUGGGUUAAGUCCCGCAACGAGCGCAACCAUUAUCUUUAGUAGCCAGCGGUUUGGCCGGGCACUCUAGAGAGAUUGCCAGGGAUAACCUGGAGGAAGGCGGGGAUGAGUGUCAAAUCAUCAUGCUCCUUAUGACUUGGGCUUCACACGUGAUACAAUGGUGUAAACAAAGGGAAGCAAAGCUGUGAAGCAGAGCAAAUCUCAAAAAUAACGUCUCAGUUUGGAAUGUAGUAUGCAACUCGACUACACGAAGCCGGAAUCGCUAGUAAUCGCAGAUCAGAAUGUUGCGGAGAAUACGUUCCCGGGUUUUGUACACACCGCCCGUCACACCAUGGGAGUCGGGAAAGCCGGAAGCCAGUGACCUAACUGAAAGGAAGGAGCUGUCGAAGGCAGGCUCGAUAACU
rnacentral:rRNA from 1 species